rnacentral:lncRNA from 1 species
AAAAUGCAAGAAUUUUGUAGUAUAGGAUAAUCAUUUUAAACUAAUGUGAAAUUUAAUAUUUUUUUUAUUGAAAGCAUUUGGUUAUGGGUCAAAUAACAUCAAGGAAGAAAUGGAUCUAAAGUGGAUAUAGUCCAUUCAAGUUUAUGUGGCAUUUAUUUUUGGAUUUUUCUCAUUAAAUUUUAUGUCAUGUCAUAUUUUUGGUAGGGGUUUGAGCCAAAAUGUGAAAAUUUAGUUACUUUUAGUGUCAAAAAAUAAUUGAGUGACUUUAGUGAACUUGAAACACAGUUGAGUGACCAAUCAUUUAAAUUAAGCCUUUACCUAUACAAGUGGAAUUUCUCGAAUCUCGAAUAUGCAUUUGAACAAGGCGGAGAAUUGCAUGGGAAAAAAGUCUAUCUUUUUGGUUGUACUGAACCACAACUAGUUUAUUUUCAUGGCCAAUCAAAAGUCAUAUGCAUACCUGUUGUGAUUGCUGUUGUAUCUUCUUUUCCACCUUCUGAUAAAAUUGGAAUAAAUUCCGUACAAAGAGAAGCUGAAGAGAUACUACCAAUGAAACAGAUGAAAAUGGAGUGGUUUCCAUAUAUUCCUUUAGAAAAACGAAAAUCUCAAGUUGAAAAACUCAAAUCUCAAAUUUUUAUUCUAAGGUGUACUCAAAGAAGAGCUGGUUUAAAACACUUGAAAUUAGAGCGAGUGAAGAAGUUUGAAUAUUGCUUACCUUAUUUUUAUCAUCCAUUCUCAGGAGAUGAUCAGCUCGAACAAAGCACCGUUGUGCAUAUCUUAUUCCCAACUGAACCGCCUGUAUUUUGUGAGUUUGAUUGGGAAUUUGAUGAGCCAAAGGAAAUGGCAAAUU